GCCCGCCUAGAUCAAUCGGAUAGAGCGUCAGACUUUUAAGGCGGUGCUGAGAUUGAUCUGAAGGCUGCGAGUUCGACCCUCGCGGUGGGCU
rnacentral:tRNA from 1 species